rnacentral:rRNA from 1 species
CCUACGGGAGGCUGCAGUGAGGAAUAUUGGUCAAUGGGCGCGAGCCUGAACCAGCCAAGUCGCGUGAGGGAUGAAGGUUCUAUGGAUCGUAAACCUCUUUUAUAAGGGAAUAAAGUGUGGGACGUGUCCUAUUUUGUAUGGACCUUAUGAAAAAGGCUAGGCUAAAUCCGUGCCAGCAGCCGCGGGAAUACGGAGGAUCCGAGCGUUAUCCGGAUUUAUUGGGUUUAAAGGGUGCGUAGGCGGCCUUUUAAGUCAGCGGGGAAAGUUUGUGGGUCAACCAUAGAAUUGCCGUUGAAACUGGGGGGCUUGAGUAUGUUAGAGGUAGGCGGAAUGCGUGGUGUAGCGGUGAAAUGCUUAGAUAUCACGCAGAACCCCGAUUGCGAAGGCAGCCUGCCAAGCCAUGACUGACGCUGAUGCACGAAAGCGUGGGGAUCAAACAGGAUUAGAUACCCCUGUAGUC